GCCGGGUGUGGUGGCUCACACCUGUAAUCCCAGUACUUUGGGAGGCUGAGGCGGGUAGAUCGCCUGAGGUCAGGAGUUCGAGACCAGCCUGGCCAACAUGGUGAAACCCCGUCUCUA
rnacentral:ncRNA from 3 species